rnacentral:misc_RNA from 1 species
AAAAAAGGGUAAGUAAAAAGGAUCACAUAUACAAAACAUCUAAACACAAUAUAAAAACAUGACCAUAAAAGCUUGAGUAAUCAAUCUUUCUUAUGCGACAAACAUCUUGACGGAAGGUCCACCACCCACCCCAAACUCUCCGAUAUUUUUUAUUAUCAUGUAAUUUUUAGCUAUAUGUUUAUAUGUUGUAGUUAGAUGUUAAGUUUAUUUACAAAAAUUUCUCCAACCUAAAUGACAUUAAAAAGGAAAUUAUAGGGAGGUCAACCAUAUUUCUUGCCAUAUUUUUUAUAUGAAACAAAUUAUCCAAUUAAAGAUUUAUCAAAAAACACAAAAUAAGAAGCAAUAAUUACUAAAAUACCUAAGGUUUCUAUUUCUAAGGUAAACACUUUAGCAAUUGAAUUUUAGGGUCUAUUUGGUAUUGUUGUUAAACCUACUGUUGAGAAAAAUAUUUUUUAAAAUAGAUUAAUUAGAGAUUAUUAAAAAAUGAUUUAAAAAUUAAAUGUGAUAAAUUUUAGUUAUAAGAACGCUAAAAUAAUAAAAUUAAUUUUUCCAAACUACUUUUUUCAAUAACAUUUAACAUGAUACUUUUUUUUCUAAAAUGUAGUUUCAAUCCUCUAACCACAAUGCCAAAUGGACACUUAAUAGUAUAAAACACUUUAGUUCCUCAACUUUUAUGAUGAGUAUUUUUUAAUAAUAAGGACUAAGGUGUUUCCAUGCAAAACAUCACCAACUUUUAGUAAUUAUCCAAAAGAAAAUGGUGAAUUAUUGUGAAAAUAUUUAGGUUAUACAUGAUCAUAGUUAAAAUAUUAAAGUGAAAGUAUUUUCUAAAUAAUUUUUCUAAAUAAUUUCUUUCAUUAUGUUUGCAAAUUGCGAAAUGAACAUAAUUUAAUUAGACAUAAUCCAAAAUAACUAAUUAGAUCUUCAACUUUUUUUCUUUCCGGUACAUGAAUUCUCCUCCCUAUGUCUAAAUCACGUGACUAACACUAAUGAAGUACAAUACCUCUAAUCACAAAGAUACAAAACAUUUAAAGCAAAAGAGAGUAG